GGUGCUUGCACUUGAAAGAUUUAACAUUGAGACGAGUGGCGAACUGGUGAGUAACACGUGGGUAACCUGCCCUUGAAGUAGGGGAUAACACUUGGAAACAGGUGCUAAUACCGUAUAACAACCAAAACCACCUGGUUUUGGUUUAAAAGACGGCUUCGGCUGUCACUUUAGGAUGGACCCGCGGCGUAUUAGCUUGUUGGUAAGGUAACGGCCUACCAAGGCGAUGAUACGUAGCCGACCUGAGAGGGUAAUCGGCCACAUUGGGACUGAGACACGGCCCAAACUCCUACGGGAGGCAGCAGUAGGGAAUCUUCCACAAUGGACGAAAGUCUGAUGGAGCAACGCCGCGUGAGUGAUGAAGGGUUUCGGCUCGUAAAACUCUGUUGUUGGAGAAGAACAGGUGUCAGAGUAACUGUUGACAUCUUGACGGUAUCCAACCAGAAAGCCACGGCUAACUACGUGCCAGCAGCCGCGGUAAUACGUAGGUGGCAAGCGUUGUCCGGAUUUAUUGGGCGUAAAGCGAGCGCAGGCGGUUUUUUAGGUCUGAUGUGAAAGCCUUCGGCUUAACCGGAGAAGUGCAUCGGAAACCGGGAGACUUGAGUGCAGAAGAGGACAGUGGAACUCCAUGUGUAGCGGUGAAAUGCGUAGAUAUAUGGAAGAACACCAGUGGCGAAGGCGGCUGUCUGGUCUGUAACUGACGCUGAGGCUCGAAAGCAUGGGUAGCGAACAGGAUUAGAUACCCUGGUAGUCCAUGCCGUAAACGAUGAGUGCUAAGUGUUGGAGGGUUUCCGCCCUUCAGUGCUGCAGCUAACGCAUUAAGCACUCCGCCUGGGGAGUACGACCGCAAGGUUGAAACUCAAAG
rnacentral:rRNA from 1 species